rnacentral:rRNA from 1 species
GACGAACGCUGGCGGCGUGCUUAACACAUGCAAGUCGAACGAGAAUCUAUGGAUCGAGGAUUCGUCCAAGUGAAGUAGAGGACAGUGGCGGACGGGUGAGUAACGCGUGAGGAACCUGCCUUUCAGAGGGGGACAACAGUUGGAAACGACUGCUAAUACCGCAUGACACAUAGAGAUCGCAUGGUUUUANGUCAAAGAUUUAUCGCUGAAAGAUGGCCUCGCGUCUGAUUAGCUAGUUGGUGAGGUAACGGCCCACCAAGGCGACGAUCGGUAGCCGGACUGAGAGGUUGAACGGCCACAUUGGGACUGAGACACGGCCCAGACUCCUACGGGAGGCAGCAGUGGGGAAUAUUGCACAAUGGGGGGAACCCUGAUGCAGCGACGCCGCGUGGAGGAAGAAGGUCUUCGGAUUGUAAACUCCUGUUGUUGAGGAAGAUAAUGACGGUACUCAACAAGGAAGUGACGGCUAACUACGUG